rnacentral:rRNA from 1 species
CCUGCGGAGGGAUCAUUACUGAGUGAGGGCCUUCGGGCUCGACCUCCAACCCUUUGUGAACACAACUUGUUGCUUCGGGGGCGACCCUGCCGUUUCGACGGCGAGCGCCCCCGGAGGCCUUCAAACACUGCAUCUUUGCGUCGGAGUUUAAGUAAAUUAAACAAAACUUUCAACAACGGAUCUCUUGGUUCUGGCAUCGAUGAAGAACGCAGCGAAAUGCGAUAAGUAAUGUGAAUUGCAGAAUUCAGUGAAUCAUCGAAUCUUUGAACGCACAUUGCGCCCCUUGGUAUUCCGAGGGGCAUGCCUGUUCGAGCGUCAUUUCACCACUCAAGCCUCGCUUGGUAUUGGGCGCCGCGGUGUUCCGCGCGCCUCAAAGUCUCCGGCUGAGCUGUCCGUCUCUAAGCGUUGUGAUUUCAUUAAUCGCUUCGGAGCGCGGGCGGUCGCGGCCGUUAAAUCUU